GUGUCAGCCGCCGCGGUAAUACGGAGGAUCCGAGCGUUAUCCGGAUUUAUUGGGUUUAAAGGGUGCGUAGGUGGUUUGAUAAGUCAGCGGUGAAAGUUUGCAGCUUAACUGUAAAAAUGCCGUUGAAACUGUCGGACUUGAGUGUAAAUGAGGUAGGCGGAAUGCGUGGUGUAGCGGUGAAAUGCAUAGAUAUCACGCAGAACUCCGAUUGCGAAGGCAGCUUACUAAGCUACAACUGACACUGAAGCACGAAAGCGUGGGGAUCAAACAGGAUUAGAUACCCUGGUAGUCCACGCAGUAAACGAUGAUUACUAGCUGUUUGCGAUACACAGUAAGCGGCACAGCGAAAGCGUUAAGUAAUCCACCUGGGGAGUACGCCGGCAACGGUGAAACUCAAAUGAAUUGGCGG
rnacentral:rRNA from 1 species